GUGGGGAAUAUUGCACAAUGGGCGCAAGCCUGAUGCAGCAACGCCGCGUGAGGGAUGACGGCCUUCGGGUUGUAAACCUCUUUUAGUAGGGAAGAAGCGAAAGUGACGGUACCUGCAGAAAAAGCACCGGCUAACUACGUGCCAGCAGCCGCGGUAAUACGUAGGGUGCAAGCGUUGUCCGGAAUUAUUGGGCGUAAAGAGCUCGUAGUCGGCUUGUCGCGUCUGCUGUGAAAACCCGAGGCUCAACCUCGGGCCUGCAGUGGGUACGGGCAGGCUAGAGUGCGGUAGGGGAGAUUGGAAUUCCUGGUGUAGCGGUGGAAUGCGCAGAUAUCAGGAGGAACACCGAUGGCGAAGGCAGAUCUCUGGGCCGUAACUGACGCUGAGGAGCGAAAGCAUGGGGAGCGAACAGGAUUAGAUACCCUUGUAGUCC
rnacentral:rRNA from 1 species